GACGAACGCUGGCGGCGUGCUUAACACAUGCAAGUGGAACGGAAAGGCCCUGCUUUUGUGGGGUGCUCGAGUGGCGAACGGGUGAGUAACACGUGAGUAACCUGCCCUUGACUUUGGGAUAACUUCAGGAAACUGGGGCUAAUACCGGAUAGGAGCUCCUGCUGCAUGGUGGGGGUUGGAAAGUUUCGGCGGUUGGGGAUGGACUCGCGGCUUAUCAGCUUGUUGGUGGGGUAGUGGCUUACCAAGGCUUUGACGGGUAGCCGGCCUGAGAGGGUGACCGGCCACAUUGGGACUGAGAUACGGCCCAGACUCCUACGGGAGGCAACAGUGGGGAAUAUUGCACAAUGGGCGGAAGCCUGAUGCAGCAACGCCGCGUGCGGGAUGACGGCCUUCGGGUUGUAAACCGCUUUCGCCUGUGACGAAGCGUGAGUGACGGUAAUGGGUAAAGAAGCACCGGCUAACUACGUG
rnacentral:rRNA from 1 species